rnacentral:rRNA from 1 species
CUACGGGUGGCAGCAGUGAGGAAUAUUGCACAAUGGGGGGAACCCUGAUGCAGCAACGCCGCGUGGAGGAUGACGCAUUUCGGUGUGUAAACUCCUUUUAUAUGUCAAGAAAAUGACGGUAGCAUAUGAAUAAGCACCGGCUAACUCCGUGCCAGCAGCCGCGGUAAUACGGAGGGUGCAAGCGUUACUCGGAAUCACUGGGCGUAAAGGACGCGUAGGCGGGUUGGAAAGUCAGGUGUGAAAUCCUACAGCGUAACUGUAGAACUGCACUUGAAACUUCUAAUCUAGAGUAUGGGAGGGGGAGAUGGAAUUAGUGGUGUAGGGGUAAUAUCCGUAGAUAUCACUAGGAAUACCUAAAGCGGAGGCGAUCUCCUGGAACAUUACUGACGCUAAGGCGUGAAAGCGUGGGGAGCAAACAGGAUUAGAUACCCGCGUAGUC